rnacentral:lncRNA from 1 species
CUCCAAACCCACAGACAUCAAGCAUUCAAGUUUAAUCCUAGGAAGGGUACUCAUCUGUGGGAACCCACUUGGGUGAAAUCUACAGAGGGGGUGGGACUGAAAAAGAACAUUUGUGCUUUUGGCCUUAUGUAACCCCCUGGAGACCCAUAGUAUCUCUCACAGAGGCCUCCCAAAUGCUCGGCUCACUACGAGAGCUCUUCUCCUGGGCGAGUAGCACCACUACUACAGAACAGACACUGAGCCAGGUGGGUGGGGGCCGACUCCGGAGACUGAGUGAGCGCCCGGGCGCGCGAGUGGAACAAAACCUGUGGCAAGAAGUAAUGAGGAAGUGCUCGCUCCCGCCCGCCCCUCCCACCGGCGGACACCCGAAACACCCGGGGUUUGACAACGUGCUGGGGGCGGGGGAGGAGGACUGGCAGCUCCAGGUCCACCGAGAGGAACCCGGAGUCGGCAACUCCUCCGAACACGGGCACCUCGCCCCCCCGCCUCCCCGGAGCUAGGCCUCCGAGGCCGAUGCCCGCAGCACCCAUCC